UACAGAGGGGGCAAGCGUUGUUCGGAAUUACUGGGCGUAAAGGGCGCGUAGGCGGCCUGUUAAGUCGAACGUGAAAUCCCCGGGCUCAACCCGGGAACUGCGUCCGAUACUGGCAGGCUUGAAUCCGGGAGAGGGAUGCGGAAUUCCAGGUGUAGCGGUGAAAUGCGUAGAUAUCUGGAGGAACACCGGUGGCGAAAGCGGCAUCCUGGACCGGCAUUGACGCUGAGGCGCGAAAGCGUGGGGAGCAAACAGG
rnacentral:rRNA from 1 species